rnacentral:rRNA from 1 species
UUUGUGUUUUUGUUGUUUUUUCUUCGUAGAUGAACGCUGGCGGCAGGCCUAACACAUGCAAGUCGAGCGGUAGAGAGGUGCUUGCACCUUCUUGAGAGCGGCGGACGGGUGAGUAAUGCCUAGGAAUCUGCCUGGUAGUGGGGGAUAACGCUCGGAAACGGACGCUAAUACCGCAUACGUCCUACGGGAGAAAGCAGGGGACCUUCGGGCCUUGCGCUAUCAGAUGAGCCUAGGUCGGAUUAGCUAGUUGGUGGGGUAAUGGCUCACCAAGGCGACGAUCCGUAACUGGUCUGAGAGGAUGAUCAGUCACACUGGAACUGAGACACGGUCCAGACUCCUACGGGAGGCAGCAGUGGGGAAUAUUGGACAAUGGGCGAAAGCCUGAUCCAGCCAUGCCGCGUGUGUGAAGAAGGUCUUCGGAUUGUAAAGCACUUUAAGUUGGGAGGAAGGGCAUUAACCUAAUACGUUAGUGUUUUGACGUUACCGACAGAAUAAGCACCGGCUAACUCUGUGCCAGCAGCCGCGGUAAUACAGAGGGUGCAAGCGUUAAUCGGAAUUACUGGGCGUAAAGCGCGCGUAGGUGGUUCGUUAAGUUGGAUGUGAAAGCCCCGGGCUCAACCUGGGAACUGCAUUCAAAACUGUCGAGCUAGAGUAUGGUAGAGGGUGGGUGGAAUUUCCUGUGUAGCGGUGAAAUGCGUAGAUAUAGGAAGGAACACCAGUGGCGAAGGCGACCACCUGGACUGAUACUGACACUGAGGUGCGAAAGCGUGGGGAGCAAACAGGAUUAGAUACCCUGGUAGUCCACGCCGUAAACGAUGUCAACUAGCCGUUGGGAGCCUUGAGCUCUUAGUGGCGCAGCUAACGCAUUAAGUGGACCGCCUGGGGAGUACGGCCGCAAGGUAAAUAGGAGAUAUUUUUGUGGGGCGGGA